UGUCCUAAAGAUGUGUCCUAAAGAUGUGUCCUAAAGAUGUGUCCUUAAGAUGUGUCCUAAAGAUGUGUCCUAAAGAUGUGUCCUAAAGAUGUUCCCCAAAGAUGUGUGUACAUUAUUCAGGUAUCAUUCCAUUCUCAGGGGCACUAUGCUAGAAACUAUGCACCUUGUGCAUCAUGAGAUGGCUUCAAAAGUGAUUAUUAUUAUAAAACCGUAAAGUGUCAAAGAAGGUCAAGGAAGUGGUGAGAUGCUCUACUGAGCAACGAAGGCUAAAUAUUUAAUGUAAUGAGUGUGUCUUCUUAAUGAAUUUGAAUUCAUAUUAAAACUAACAAAAAAUAUAUAUUUGUAACGUUAGCUAUAAUUGUUAAAUUUCUACGUAUUUUAUUUGUUCAUGCACUGUUUAAAUUUAUUUUCAAACUUGGUUGGUUGAAUAUGUUCAAAUUAGUGAACAAAAAUGCCAUCUGACUAUGUUUAUGUUAUUGAACAUAUCCACAAUACCAUCCAUACCUAAUUCAUGGAUCACCUUCACUUUCAACUUGCAUGUGGUGAUAUUUUGCACGUGAGCAUUUUUAAGUGUUACUUAUCUGAUAUUCCAAAUGUGACAUCUGCCUACAUUCCUUAGGUGAGACACCUGUGCCCAGUUGGUACAUUCAUUAGGUGAGACACCUGUGCCCCAGUUGGUACAUUCAUUAGGUGAGACACCUGUGCCCCAGUUGGUACAUUCAUUAGGUGAGACACCUGUGCCCAGUUGGUACAUUCAUUAGGUGAGUAUUGAUCUGUAUCGGGCAUAUCUAUUAUAAAAAUACCACAUCAUUGGCUUAUUGCUGCCAUUGUGAACAAGCCAACAAACCUAUGGCACUCUAUACUGCGUAAAACAAGGACAGGCUUUUUUUGACUGAAUUGUUCCUGAGGCUUUUUGACACGUCAGACAAUUCUCCUGUGCCCUGUAGUGCGCGGGGGGCCUUCUUGUCUGAAACAAAAGAAUGAAGGCAAUGAAAAUGUGUAAUUUGAAGAUCAGAUCUCUUUAGAAUGUAUUUACAGAAUAGUGUUUUUGUUUUUACUAAUAGAAUAGAGUGCGUACUAAUGUGCAUUUCUGUUAUACAGGGAAGUCCAUACGUCGUUGGUUUUUUUGGGUUGAUAUUUUUUGACAGAAAAAUGGACUGAAACUUUUAACUCACGUAUCAGGUUCUGGAUUAUCUAAAUGUAUUAUCAUCACUACAUUAUCUCUGAAUUAUCUCUACAUUAUCUCUGCAUUACCAUAGCUGCUGAUGAAACCAUAACUUCAGGUUUUGAUGCAAGGUUGUCAUCCUAAUGGCAAACAUUUUUUGGGAUCAAAGAUAAACAUUUAUAUCAUAUACCAAACUACUGUAAUUGUAGACAUUUUGUAGUGAUGUUAAAAAGCCAAAUUGUGUGUUGCUUUCUAUUGUGAACCAUUAAUAGGAGCACAUUAGCAGACUGUCUCUCGAGAAAAUGUAUUGAGAGAAAGGGCUCCUUGGAUAUCUACAUAUGUUUAUUUACUAUGGCAUCUCCUAUUGACAUUAUAUUCAUUUUUGUUAUGACUAUAAUAGCCUUUGUACAACUGCUUAACUGCUAUAGUCCUACGGCGUAGUCAUGCUUUGUUAAAUUGUUGAAAUUGGAAGAUUCUACAGGAUUUGCUUGAAUGAUUAUUGUACCGUAAUGACUGUCUGAACGUAGCCUGAGUGCCUGAGUGUGUUUGUGUUCUUGCACGUGACAAGGAGUUGGCAUGAUAGCGCCAACAAACAUGGCAAUCGGGCUAGUCUGACACCUCAAUGUUGAAAUCAACGCAUCAGAUCACAUAUCAGUGCUCUGAGCUUAACUAUUGAUGCAUUACUUUGUAACCCAGCUGACUGUUGUAUUAAUACUACUCUCUUUUGUUUAUGAUAUGCCAAACAAAAGUAGCGGAACUUUUGCUUUCUUAAGAUUACUUGUUGUGAAUUUAUUAGAUACUGUUUGACUCGUCGCUCACUUGUUUAUGAGAUGCCAUGCACUUACGUACUCAGUAUUAGUUAUUCUUGUCGAAAAAUAGAAAAGCAGCAAUAGAAAUGUAUCAUUUGAAAAAUGAGUAAAUGUUAGCGUUUUCUUCUCUA